GACCCUGCCCUGCCCGCUCGGAUCGCGCGGGGCCGCGGCGCGGCGGGGCCCGACGACCGUGCGGCCGCCCCGGUGCCCCGCUGGAGGCCGGGAGCGGCCGGGAUCGGGUUAUGAACCUUUCUGCAGCAAGAUUUGAAGCAGCCAGAUUCCAGUUUAAAUCCAAGUCCCUAGGACUCACUCGUGAUUUCCGGUGUUCUGAACAGGGCAGCUGGGACAGAAAUCUACUUUGGUGAAUCUGAGACACCUGGGUCUCUUUUAUUGUCAAAGAGGGAAUAUGGCCUAAUUAACCAUGCUGUUGUCAUUGUCAACACCCAUGGUACAUCUCCUGAGCCAACAAAUAGCCCUUGCAGUGGAUGUCAGUGGCUACAGAACUGGACUGCUGAGAAACUUCUUGGAGUUUCCUUUCCUUUUGCUUCCGUGGGAGCAAGAUCUUCUCAAACCACCCUUAGCUAGCAUGAACUGCUCUUCUCUAGAGUGGUGGAUCCUUAACAGGCAUGGUUGGUCUGUUCCCACUUCGUUUCAGCUGUGCUAUCCAGCUUAUCCAGUGAUACAGCUUUCUACAGCUUGGUACCUCUCAAGUACGAGCAGCGCUGGCAGGUCCUGGCAGGGUGACGGCAGCGGGGAUCUCGGCGCUGCGUCCUGGCGAGAGCAGGGGAGCCGGGCUCCAUCUACCGCUGUGCCGGCAGAAGGCAAAGCCAGCCAGGACGGCAUUCCUCCGCACGGGAAAGCCACGGCGCACGCCAGUUGUUAAUGAAGCCCUCAGCUCCUGUGACGAUGCUCCUGGGGAUGGCAUCUGCAGAGGGGGACAUGGAGGCCACAGAGAGGGGCUCCAGCCCCCUGCCCCUCUGCCCAUGGACAGCAACAGUGGAACACUGUGGUCCCCUCAAAGCCAGCACAGAGCAGACAUCUCCAACAGGGCUAACUGCCUGGGACAGCCAGAGACAGCCGUGAGCUAUGGACUGGUGCAACACAGUGACAUGUUAACUGUUUGAGCUUCCCUGUUGUGCUCUCAGCCAUCCUGGAGGAUACACAAAGGCUGGAAGAUGACUGGUAUGCUUCAGAAAUCUCCACUGGCUCAUGCUGCUUCUGAGACUGUCCAAGCUGAUGGUUACACCUCCUUUUGAAGGUUUGAAGGCUUUGUUUUCCAGCAGAAGAGCUUUUCUGGGCAUUAUUUGUGCUGGACUGACCUUCAGAUAAAACUGUUACUAAGACCUGACAACAGAGUAGGUAUGACAGCCCUGUCAAGGAAUGGAUAAUCUCCUGUCUUUAAAUACACUUUCUAUUUAUGUUGGCAGUGUACAGGCAUCUCAGGAUUUUACCUGCUAUCCCAGACUUACAUUGCAAAAGUGCCACCAAGGAAACUUCUCUGCAUAUCUGUUUCUAUUUCAAAACGUCUUAACUGAAUAAUGUGAGUUGGCAGAUACAUCACUGCCUGUUGAAGCUCACGGCUGAAGAAUGUUCAAAGGGAAAAGAAAAUAUCUGGAAAGUAUUUUUUUACUAUCAAACAGACCUGGAAAUUGUAUCAACUGAGGGGAUAUACCAGUCGUUCCUGCAGAUUAAUUUUCAUGGGGGUCAGCAAAUAUGUAAGACAGGUACACUUACCUCUGACUGAUGACACUUCCCAAAGACUCGCUCUCCAGCCCUGGGAACCUGCUUCACCAGCCCUGGGAGUAUGGCCAUGGUGUGGGUGAGUGCUGCAGAGGAGUCACUGGUUCUGGGUGUUGCUGGUAUCACAUGAACUCUGCAGUGGGAGAGGAAGGACCUGAGCUUUUGAUUUCUGAAUGAUAUUGCUCUGAUAAAUAAAGAAAAUAUUUAACUACUGCAA